rnacentral:rRNA from 1 species
AGAGUUUGAUCAUGGCUCAGGAUAAACGCUGGCGGCGCACAUAAGACAUGCAAGUCGAACGGACAGAAGCUAUUCUUAACGAUUAGUGGAAGUUAGUGGCGGACUGGUGAGUAAAGUAUAAGUAACCUACCUAUUAGAGGGGGACAACAGUUAGAAAUGACUGCUAAUACCGCAUAUGCCAUAAGAAUCGCAUGGUUCAAGUGGGAAAGGAGAAAUCCGCUGAUAGAUGGACUUAUAUCUGAUUAGCUAGUUGGUGGGGUAAAGGCCUACCAAGGCGACGAUCAGUAGCCGGACUGAGAGGUUGAACGGCCACAUUGGGACUGAGAUACGGCCAGACUCCUACGGGAGGCAGCAGUCGGGAAUAUUGCGCAAUGGAGGGAACUCUGACGCAGUGACGCCGCGUGCAGGAAGAAGGUUUUCGGAUUGUAAACUGCUUUAGACAGGGAAGAAAAAAGACAGUACCUGUAGAAUAAGCUCCGGCUAACUACGUGCCAGCAGCCGCGGUAAUACGUAGGGAGCGAGCGUUAUCCGGAAUUAUUGGGUGUAAAGAGUGCGUAGACGGGAAUUUAAGUUAGCUGUGAAAUCCCUCGGCUUAACUGAGGAACUGCAACUAAAACUGAAUUUCUUGAGUACUGGAGAGGAAAGUGGAAUUCCUAGUGUAGCGGUGAAAUGCGUAGAUAUUAGGAGGAACACCGGUGGCGAAGGCGACUUUCUGGACAGAGACUGACGUUGAGGCACGAAAGUGUGGGGAGCAAACAGGAUUAGAUACCCUGGUAGUCCACACCGUAAACGAUGGAUAC